GUGUGGAAUAUUGGGCAAUGGGCGAAAGCCUGACCCAGCAACGCCGCGUGAAGGAAGAAGGUUUUCGGAUCGUAAACUUCUAUCCUUGGUGAAGAUAAUGACGGUAGCCAAGAAGGAAGCCCCGGCUAACUACGUGCCAGCAGCCGCGGUAAUACGUAGGGGGCAAGCGUUGUCCGGAAUGAUUGGGCGUAAAGGGCGCGUAGGCGGCCCGGUAAGUCUGAAGUGAAAGUCCUGCUUUUAAGGUGGGAAUUGCUUUGGAUACUGUCGGGCUUGAGUGCAGGAGAGGUAAGUGGAAUUCCCGGUGUAGCGGUGAAAUGCGUAGAGAUCGGGAGGAACACCAGUGGCGAAGGCGACUUACUGGACUGUAACUGACGCUGAGGCGCGAAAGUGUGGGGAGCAAACAGGAUUAGAUACCCCAGUAGUCC
rnacentral:rRNA from 1 species